rnacentral:rRNA from 1 species
UAGGGAAUAUUGCAAAAUGGGCGAAAGCCCGAUGCAGCAACGCCGCGUGGGCGAUGAAGGCCUUCGGGUCGUAAAGCCCUUUUUGAGGGGAUGAGGAAGGACAGUACCCUCAGAAUAAGCCUCGGCUAACUACGUGCCAGCAGCCGCGGUAAAACGUAGGAGGCGAGCGUUAUCCGGAGUUACUGGGCGUAAAGCGCGUGCAGGCGGAUUGGAGAGUUGGAUGUGAAAGCUCCCGGCUUAACUGGGAGAGGUCGUUCAAUACUUCCAGUCUUGAGUGCAGUAGAGGGAAGUGGAAUUCCGGGUGUAGUGGUGAAAUGCGUAGAUAUCCGGAGGAACACCAGUGGCGAAAGCGGCUUCCUGGACUGUAACUGACGCUCAGACGCGAAAGCUAGG